CGGGGCGUAGCGCAGUUUGGUAGCGCGCCACAUUCGGGAUGUGGAGGCCGCAGGUUCGAAUCCUGUCGCCCCGA
rnacentral:tRNA from 4 species